CGGCGUGCUUAACACAUGCAAGUCGAACGAAUCACUUUCUAACGAAUCUUCCGAGGAAGUCUUAUUUGACUGACUGGCGGACGGGUGACUAACUCCUGGGUAACCUGCCUCACACAUGGGGAUAACUGUUGGAAACGACCGCUGAUCCCCCUUAAACCGGAAGGAUCGCUUGAUUCGGCUCCGAAAAGAUUUAUCGGUGUGAGAUGGACCCGCGUCUGAUUAGCCCGUUGGCACGGUAACGGCCUACCAGACCGACAAUCUGAACCCGGCCUGAGAGGGUGAACCGCCACCUUGGGACUGACACACGGCCCAAACUCCUACUGUAGGCAGCUGUGGGGAAUAUUGCUCCAUGGGCGACACCCUGAUGCAGCGACUCCGCGUGAGUGAAGAAGUAUUUCGGUAUGUAAAGCUCUAUCGUCCCGGAAUAAAAUGACCGUACCUGACUCAUACCCCCCGGCUAACUACGUGCCAGCAGCCGCGGUAAUACGUAGGGGGCAAGCGUUAUCCGGAUUUACUGCGUGUAAAGGGAGCGUAGACGGCCAGACAAGUCCCAACUGAAAGCCCAGGGCUCAACCCUGGCACUGCUUUUGAAACUGCCGGGCUGGAGUGCAGGAGAGGUAAGCGGAAUUCCUAGUGUAGCGGUGAAAUGCGUAGAUAUUAGGAGGAACACCAGUGGCGAAGGCGGCUUACUGGACUGUAACUGACGUUGAGGCUCGAAAGCGUGGGGAGCAAACAGGAUUAGAUACCCUGGUAGUCCACGCCGUAAACGAUGAAUAUUAGGUGUCGGUGAGCCAAGCUCAUCGGUGCCGCAGCCAACGCCAUAAAUAUUUCCCCUGGGGAGGACGUUUGCCAGAAUGAAAAUCAAAGGAAUUGACGGGGACCCGCCCCAACGGUGGAGCCUGUGGUUUAAUUUGAAGCAACGCGAAGAACCUUUCCAGGUUUUGACAUCCCUGUGGCCGGUCGGUAACGGGCCCUUUCCUUUGGGACCGCGGAGACCGGUGGUGCCUGGUUGUUGUCAGCUUGUGUUGUGAGAUGUUGGGUUAAGUCCCGCCACGAGGGCCACCCCUUCUUUCCGUAGCCCGGGAGUAAAGUCGGGCACUCUGGAGGGACUGCCAGGGACAACCUGGAGGAAGGUGGGGAUGACGUCAAAUCAUCAUGCCCCUUAUGAUCUGGGCUACACACGUGCUACAAUGGCGUAAACAAAGGGAAGCGAGACAGUGAUGGCAAGCAAAUCCCAAAAAUAACGUCUCAGUUCGGAUUGUAGUCUGCAACUCGACUACAUGAAGCUGGAAUCGCUAGUAAUCGCGGAUCAGAAUGCCGCGGUGAAUACGUUCCCGGGUCUUG
rnacentral:rRNA from 1 species